CAGCCACAUCCCACACAGGGCUCAGAGAUCCGGUCCUGCCCAAGCACCGUUUCCUUAGAACACACGGAUCAGCACACAGAUGGCUCUUCCCGGCACCCUAGGCUGUCAGCUGGCAGGCCCCGCCCCCAUACAACUGGUACCCACUGCUGGAGAUCCUCAGCGCAGCUGGCGCUCGCCCUACAUUUCUAGUGCCCAUUCUGCCCAGGCUGUCGUUGACACCUCACUUUCUGAGCCUCGAAGGACACUGCCCUCCGCAUUCCCCCUCCUCAGUCUCAGACAGGUGGCACGUACCUGCCUCUUCUCCGAAGACGGACGAGUCGAGCCGGGCACAAGCAUGGAGCUGCGGAGCCCCGCCCGGCCAGGAUCUCUCAGGCGACCGAUAUAUGCAGAGAACCACGUGGAGGAAAGGCACGCGAGUUUGGAGGGGGUGGAGCACCUGAAGUGGACCUGAAUAUGACACGACGGGACAGCUGCAAGGAACAUCACACUGUUUUCCUCAGUGGCUGCAUCAUUUUACAUUCCUACCCAUGAUGCACAAGAG